UGCCCUAGUAACGGCGAGUGAAGCGGCAACAGCUCAAAUUUGAAAUCUGGCCCUCGGGUCCGAAUUGUAAUUUGUAGAGGAUGCUUUUGGCGCGGUGCCUUCCGAGUUCCCUGGAACGGGACGCCUUAGAGGGUGAGAGCCCCGUACGGUUGGACACCAAGCCUCUGUAAAGCUCCUUCGACGAGUCGAGUAGUUUGGGAAUGCUGCUCUAAAUGGGAGGUAAAUUUCUUCUAAAGCUAAAUACCGGCCAGAGACCGAUAGCGCACAAGUAGAGUGAUCGAAAGAUGAAAAGCACUUUGAAAAGAGGGUUAAAUAGCACGUGAAAUUGUUGAAAGGGAAGCGUUUGCGACCAGACUUUUUCCGGGCGGAUCAUCCAGUGUUCUCACUGGUGCACUUCGCCCGGUUUAGGCCAGCAUCGGCUUUCGUAGGGGGAUAAAAACAGUGGGAAAGUAGCUCUUUCGGGAGUGUUAUAGCCCGCUGUAUAAUACCCUUGCGGGGGCCGAGGACCGCGCUUCGGCAAGGAUGCUGGCAUAAUGGUCGUCAACGACCCGUCUUGAAACACGGACCAAGGAGUCGAACAUUUGUGCGAGUGUUUGGGUGUUAAACCCUCACGCGUAAUGAAAGUGAACGGAGGUGAGAGCCCUUACGGGUGCAUCAUCGACCGAUCCUGAUGUCUUCGGAUGGAUUUGAGUAAGAGCAUAACUGUUCGGACCCGAAAGAUGGUGAACUAUGCGUGGAUAGGGUGAAGCCAGAGGAAACUCUGGUGGAGGCUCGCAGCGGUUCUGACGUGCAAAUCGAUCGUCAAAUCUGCGCAUGGGG
rnacentral:rRNA from 1 species